GACGUAGGGCGCGAGCGUUGUCCGGAUUUAUUGGGCGUAAAGAGCUCGUAGGUGGUUUGUCGCGUUGUUCGUGAAAACUCACAGCUUAACUGUGGGCGUGCGGGCGAUACGGGCAGACUGGAGUACUGCAGGGGAGACUGGAAUUCCUGGUGUAGCGGUGGAAUGCGCAGAUAUCAGGAGGAACACCGGUGGCGAAGGCGGGUCUCUGGGCAGUAACUGACGCUGAGGAGCGAAAGCGUGGGGAGCAAACAGG
rnacentral:rRNA from 1 species